UAAUACGUAGGAGGCGAGCGUUAUCCGGAUUUACUGGGCGUAAAGAGGGCGUAGGCGGUUCUUCAAGUCGGAUGUGAAAGGUCCCGGCUUAACUGGGAAGGAUCAUUCGAUACUGUUGGGCUAGAGGGCAGCAGAGGGAGGUGGAAUUCCCGGUGUAGUGGUGAAAUGCGUAGAUAUCGGGAGGAACACCAGUGGCGAAGGCGGCCUCCUGGGCUGUUGCUGACGCUGAGGCCCGAAAGCGUGGGGAGCGAACAGGAUUAGAUACCCUGGUAGUCCACGCUGUAAACGAUGGACACUAGGUAUGGGGAGUGUCGACCCUCUCCGUGCCGAAGCUAACGCGUUAAGUGUCCCGCCUGGGGACUACGGCCGCAAGGCUA
rnacentral:rRNA from 1 species